GCAGGGACGCGUACAGGCUACAACGUUUGUCUUUUACUUCUGGCUUCAUCGUUUUAUUUGUUUUUUAUUUUAUUUUCUAUCCCUUGGGUGUCAUGCAGCAUCAUCUUGGUGUUUUUUUAUUCUGGAAGAUCAAUCUAUAUCACUUGAACGCUUCCCUUCUGUAUUUCGAAGGCCUCGUCAAUGCCAUGCCUUUGGAUUGUGCCAAAACAUGUACAUGAACACAAGGAGAACAUACAUAAUCAAGAUAAAUGGUUGGGGUAGGUGACAGCCAGUGUCCAUUCAAGCAGCAUUGGAUGCAAAGCAGGCAUCCUUGACAUACAGUUCAUAGCUGCUAUCCUGAAAUGGCCAAGUGAGAGUGAAGCCAGGGGAAGAGAAGCGAGAAGGUGCCUAUGUCAUUCAGUGCUACAAUGAUAACAUCUAACUUGAUAACAGGAAGUGCAAUUUUGUGUUUUCCAAGGGACACCCUUGGAAUGGAAGAACUGGGGGAGAGAGUGUGCAGUGUGCACAGGGCAUUACCAGUGCCUCAUAUUCCCACAGGGUAGCAUGGGACAUGGAGUUCUUUGACUCAGACCUGUUGGAUUCCAUGGGUGCCACCAGGACAUUGGGCACUACUUCAUGGGACAUCUGCCUCACCCAGAAGUGCUUUUGGACCACCUGUACAGAAGACCAGAAGUACUUUCAGGUGGAAGAUAAAAGGAGCUGCUUGCCACACAUGGAUGAGACUGCGUUGGGAGGAAUGUGGACAACACUUGUGAGGAGGAGUGGAGGAGGCAGUGAGAGACAGUGACCAAAAAAAGAAGUCAAAGUAUUGUGUGCUAUAAAGUGCUUUAUUGUGCUUGUGGCUGUGGUGGUGGGAAAUGAUUGCUGAGAAGAGUAUUCCCACAAUGAAAGACUUUUUGUGCUUUUACCUUGUGCCCAUGCCUGUCUGUGUUGGGUGUUUGGGAAGCUGGAGUGCCCCCUGUUGUCCACAGUUGUUUUGUUUAUCAGUUCAUGAAUGAGGUUGCAGGGUAAAAAAGAUGGACUUGUCCUUCCAUUGCCUUGUGGCACAAUAGUAUGGUUCAAAAAUCAGAAGAUGUAACAUAAAUGAAAAAUCACAGGAAGAAUAAAAAACAAAACCACAAUGUGUACACUGGAGCUUCCUUUUGGAACUGGGGCCAGAACCACAGCUGCAUAAUCAGGUGGCCCACAUCAAGAAGAAAGUGCAGCUAACUAAAACUACAUAUAUUAAUAUAAUACAGAAAUACAAAUAAUUAACACUAUAUUACAUAAAUACAACAAUGACAAAGCAAAACCAAGAGUGAAAUUCAUAAUAUAACUUGAAAAUGAAUAUUUUAAAAAUAAGAAAAAGAUAAACUAAACAAAAAAAAAACUUAAGGUAGGGCAACAAUCCUGUUUAAAACAUAACACAGCAUACAUUGUGUCAGAAACAUUCAUAUAGGCAUUGGCAUCAGGGUUCCUGCACAUUAAGCAAUCCAUCCAUCCAUCCAUCUUCUUCCGCUUAUCCGAGGCAGCAGCUUGAGCAGAGAUACCCAGACUUCCCUC